AGUGAACGCUGGCGGCGUGCCUAAUACAUGCAAGUCGAACGGAGUGGAGCACGGGAGAGUAAUGUAUAGAUAAUCUGCCCUACACUAGAGGACAACAGCUGGAAACGACUGCUAAUACUCUAUAGUGUAGGAUGAGGCUAUAUUGUAUAAGCUAGGUGGUGAGGUAAUGGCUCACAAGUGCUAUGACGCAUAACUUGUCUGAGAGGAUGAUCAGUCACACUUGAACUGAGACACGGUUCAGACUCCUACGGGAUGGAGCAGUAGGGAAUAUUGCUCAUUGGGGGAAACCCUGAAGCAACAACGCCGCGUGGAGGAUGUCACUUUUCGAAGCGUAAGCUCCUUUUGUUAAGGAACCGGUACCUAACGAAUAAGCACCGGCUAACUCCGUGCCAGCAGCCGCGGUAAUAC
rnacentral:rRNA from 1 species